rnacentral:lncRNA from 1 species
ACCGCUCGCCGCGCCCGAAUCGUGCCAAAUUGGUAGUGAUCUCGGGGCGGGGCGUGACAUGAGUAGUCUAAUGUUGUUCCGGUUUUUGUUCUUGUGAACAUUGACAUCGAUUCGUUCCAAAUUUACACUCUCGGGGCAUAAUAGAACAAUAUAAUUAGGUUUUACGCUUUAUUAGAUAGAAUGAGAAAAAGUACCCGUUGCAAAGUUAUACUGUUAGGGUGCAACUGAGUAGUCUAAUGUUAUUCUGAUUUUUAUUCUUGUGAACGUUGACAUCGAUUCGUUCCAAAUUUACAAUCUCGGGGCAUAAUAGAACAAUAUAAUUAGGUUUUACUCUUUGUUCGAUAGAAUGCGAAAAAGUACUCGUUGUAAAGAUAUACUGUUAGGGCGCAACUGAGUAUUCUAAUGUUGAUCUGGUUUUGGUUCUUAUGAAUGUAGACAUCAAUUCAUUCCAAAUUUGCACUCUCGGGGCAUAAUAGAACAAUAUAAUUAGGUUUUACACUUUGUUCGAUAGAAUGAGAAAAAGUACUCGUUGUAAAGUUAUACUGUUAGGGCGCAACGAAGUAUUCUAAUGUUGUUCCGGUUUUGGUUCUUGUGAACGUUGACAUCGAUUCACUCAAAAUUUACACUCUCGGGGCAUAAUAGAACAAUAUAAUUAGGUUUUACUUUUUGUUCGAUCGAAUGAGAAAAAGCACUCGUUGUAAAGUUAUACNGUUUUUGUUCUUGUGAGCGUUGACAUCGAUUCGUUCCAAAUUUACACUCUCUAGGCAUAAUAGAACAAUAUAAUUAGGUUUUACGCUUUCUUCAAAAAAAUGAGAAAAAUUACUCGUUGCAAAGUUAUACAGUUAGGGCGCAACUGAGUAGUCUAAUGUUAUUCCGGUUUUUGUUCUUAUGAGCGUUGACAUCGAUUCGUUCCAAAUUUACAAUCUCUGGGCAUAAUAGAACAAUAUAAUUAGAUUUUACGCUUUCUUCGAUAAAAUGAGAAAAAGCACUCGUUGCAAAGUUAUUCUGUUAUGGCGCAACUGAGUUGUUUAAUGUUGUUCCGGUUUUUGUUCUUGUGAGCGUUGAUAUCGAUUCGUUCCAAAUUUACACUCUCUGGGCAUCAUAGAACAAUAUAAUUAGGUUUUACGAUUUUUUUUAUAAAAUGAGAAAAAUUACUCGUUGCAAAGUUAUACUGUUAUGGCGCAACUGAAGUGCCUAAUGUUGUUCCAGUUUUUGUUCUUGUGAGCGUUGACAUCGAUUCGUUCCAAAUUUACACUCUCUAGGCAUAAUAGAACAAUAUAAUUAGGCUUUACGCUUUCUUCGAUAAAAUGAGAAAAAGUACUCGUUGCAAAGUUAUACUGUUAGGGCGCAACAGAUUUGUCUAAUGUUGUUCCGGUUUUUGUUCUUAUGAGCGUUGACAUCGAUUCGUUCCAAAUUUACACUCUCUGGGCAUAAUAGAACAAUGUAAUUGGAUUUCACGCUUUUUUCGAUAAAAUGAGAAAAAGCACUUGUUGCAAAGUUAUUCUGUUAUGGCGCAACUGAGUUGUUUAAUGUUGUUCGGAUUUUUGUUCUUGUGAGCGUUGACAUCGAUUCGUUCUAAAUUUACACUCUCGGGGCAUAAUAGAACAAUAUAAUUAGGUUUUACGCUUUCUUCGAUAAAAUAAGAAAAAGCACUCGUUGCAAAGUUAUACUGUUUGGGCGCAACUGAGUAGUCUAAUGUUAUUCCGAUUUUUGUUCUU